GUGUGCUCUUCAGAUCUGUGGAUUUUUAUGUGACUCGUUUCACAGAGGAAGUGAUGCUUUUUGCGUGAAGAACUCCAGGGCAUUAGAAUUAAAGUACUUUCCUGAGACUCAAGUAAUUUGCUUUCUUCCCACCCUCGGCACUCACAUACCGCCAGCAAGAUACUUGGCCUUUAUAUUCUCAUGCGUUCAGGAUGCUAUUCUACAUUAGGCGUGUUUUUUUGUUUUUGUUUUUUUUUAAGUAUUCUUUUUUAUUGGCUACCUUAUAUUACUAAGGAUAUCAUUUAGGUAGACCAGAUGGUGAUUCUCAGGGUCAUUCCUUUCCUGUUAAAAAAGGCCAUUCCUUUGAAUGACUUGGUGCUGGGCAUCCCUCCCGGUUUUCUCCAAUAGGCAAUUACUCCCCCUCCCCCGCUUUUUAAAUACAUGUGAGUGCUAAGUAAAGAUCCAGGCUCACUGUCUUGUUAACAUAUAUCUUAAUUGCUUUUUAAACUAAUUAACUGUUUAUCUUACUAUAUGAAUUAUCAUUAUUAAAAUAUUUCUCAAAACGUACUUCUAGGAAGGAAGGAAGGAAGGAAAAGGAAAGGAAGGCAGAUAUUAUGUGGACUUGAAUGUCCUUGCAGUUUUCCUGUGAAAGAGAAGCAGAAUGCCAAGCAUUUGUUUUCCAGCCCAGCAUGUGCCUGCAUACUUUUCCUCCUAUUUUCCAUCUGUGAUUUCUUUUUUAUGCUCCCUAUUCAUAGAGAUGGGGGUUUCACAAAUGGUGAAUUUUGAGGACCACUUGACAUCUCAUGGCAGUCCUUCCUCAGUUUGUAGAUAACCUUCCUGAAAGUUAGAGAGCAUUAAGUCUAAGUCAGUAGUAGACUUUCAAGAAUUGGGGGCCCCUUUUUAAUGUUUUAAAUGAAUUUGCCUGUUGACACAGUGCACAAUGCAAUGCUUCUUGAAGGGUGUCCCCAACACUCCCUGGUGGUUAAAUACCACCAGAAUCACCUUGGGAGGCAAUAUUAUGACCCUUUCAGUUGUUUUCCCCAAAACCUUCUGAUUGAUUCAGGGAGCCUUAUGACAGUAUAACACCUAAGGCUUUAUAAUACCUAAGGCUUUAUAAUCUUUCCU